CCCUAUGGGGUGCAGUGGCUAUUCCGCUCAGUCGCUGCCUGAAAUUGAGCACCAACCGCUCCGAACGCAGGAUGGAGGCAGGAUUUCCGGUUACGGUAAAUGCCACCUGGCCCGGUACAACGGAAUCGCCAUCUUUCAAAAAGAUCUCUAUCAGGAGCGACGGGUCGACGUGGUGGAAGAUUUUACCGGCAAGGUCCACUCCGCAGAUUACCCCAUGGUCUUUGACGAUCAGCCGGGCUUUUACCGUGUGACCCUCUGGGAUGGUAGCCAGGGAAGUGUGAUCGCCGUCGCCUGUAUCUUCUUCCAGGGCACGCGUAAUGAUUUCUUCAAUGUUCAUAACCCGUUUAGUUGUCCUGCACCUGGAAUUGGCGGGAGGGC
rnacentral:rRNA from 1 species